GCUGCGCUUAGCUCAACAGGGCGAAUACGAGAGUCACUCUAUCCUCUCGCCGGCGCGGCUCCUCUCUCGAUAGG
rnacentral:sRNA from 1 species